rnacentral:rRNA from 1 species
GUGGGGAAUUUUGGACAAUGGGGGCAACCCUGAUCCAGCCAUGCCGCGUGCGGGAAGAAGGCCUUCGGGUUGUAAACCGCUUUUGUCAGGGAAGAAAUCCUUUGGGUUAAUACCUCGGAGGGAUGACGGUACCUGAAGAAUAAGCACCGGCUAACUACGUGCCAGCAGCCGCGGUAAUACGUAGGGUGCGAGCGUUAAUCGGAAUUACUGGGCGUAAAGCGUGCGCAGGCGGUUUUGUAAGAUCGAUGUGAAAUCCCCGGGCUCAACCUGGGAACUGCAUUGGUGACUGCAAGGCUGGAGUGCGGCAGAGGGUGAUGGAAUUCCGCGUGUAGCAGUGAAAUGCGUAGAUAUGCGGAGGAACACCGAUGGCGAAGGCAAUCCCCUGGGCCUGCACUGACGCUCAUGCACGAAAGCGUGGGGAGCAAACAGGAUUAGAAACCCUUGUAGUCC